rnacentral:lncRNA from 1 species
GAGGAGAGGACGUGCCGGGAAAAGAAUGCAGAAAGGAGAUUUUUUUUGGCCACAGAGUUUUUGCUAAAAGCAGCUAGGAAGCCCCACGGCUCCAGUGUGCGUGAACUCCUGGUAAUUUCCUUGGGGAAUCCCGCCUCAGAGAACCUCUACCCCGAGAAUUAGGAGGAAGCUGAGCUAGGUUCAACAUUUUUCAAAAUAAAAAGUUGGUAGAAUAAUAGGAAGCCAUGAGGACCAAGAAGCUCACAUUUCCAAGGCUUUCUAAGUUUCACCUUGAAGCAAGAUACAUCAUAAAGCAUUGUCUAGGUACAACUUGCACUUUCCUGUCCAAGCCUCAGACCCUGUUCUUCAUCUGGGCCCACAGAGCAACAGCUUCCACUUUUGUGGCCAAAGAAAAAUGCUAACCAGCUUGUAAUUGCUGUAAGGAGAUGGAGUUUCACUUACAUCCAGGCUGGAAUGCAGUGGCGUGAUCUUGGCUCACUGGAACCUCCACCUCCUGGGUUCAAGCAAUUCUCGUGCUUCAGCCUCCCGAGUAGCUGGGAUUAUAGGUACGCUCUUUCAUGCCCAGCUAAUUUUUGUAUUUGUAGUACAGAUGGGGUUUUGCCAUGUUGGCCAGGCUGGUCUUGAACUCCUGGCCUCAAGUGAUCUGCCUGCCUCAGCCUCCCAAAGUGCUGGGAUUACAGGUGUGAGCCACCAUGCCCAACCUCAUUUAUUUAUUCGUGUGUGUGUGUGUGUGUGUGUGUGUGUGUGUGUGUGUAUAACUGCCUAAUAGCUUAUACCUUAAGAGAGCCUUAAAUAGUAUAAGAAAGAAAAGAUAAACAAAGGGCAAGACUGUCACAUCUGUGUGGCUACAAAAGGAAAAUAUUCCUUACACAGCAUAUUUCCUACAUGAUUGACAAAGCUAGCAAUCUGCAUUCAAAAGCAUGUAGCCCAUGUACCACAGGCUACAUACAGGCUCUCAGGCUAAUGAUCAGAAUAACAAUUAUGAGUAACUUUUCCCGAAUGCUUACUAAGUGCCAGGCACUACACUAAGUGUUGUUUUGUUUUGUUUUGUUUUUGAGACAGAGUCUCACUGUGUCACCCAGGCUGGAGUGCAGUGGUGAGAUCUUGGAUCACUGCAACCUCCUCCCAGGUUCAAGCGAUUCUCCUGCCUCAGCCACCCAAGUAGCUGGGAUUACAGGCGUGUACCACCAUGCCCAGCUACUUUUUGUGUUUUUAGUAGAGACCGGGUUUCACUAUGUUGGCCAGGAUGGUCUAAAACUCCUGACCUAAGGUGAUCCACCUGCCUCAGCCUCCCAAAGUGCUGGGAUGACAGGCAUGAGCCACUGUGCCCGGCCUUACACUAAGUGUUUUGCAUAAUGUUAUAUGCCUUGUUUAAUCCUCAUUUUUCGAAGGAGGCUCCUGAGACUCACAGAAGUGAGCUGCACAGAGUCAUGUGAUUGAUAAGUGGUUAAGCUGAGGUUCAAAUACAGGCCACUGAAUUUCAAACUAAAAACCCACAAUCAUUCCAGGCACCACCUUAAAGUUCUACUUAUAAGGGGCCAGCGAGUGGCACACGGCCCAGGACGAAAAAGUGAGUGAGGAUAUUCAAACACAAGUCACAUCACGACAUGGCAAAAACAGAAAAACUUUGAUGUUCUCCAUCUGUUCUUCAGACAGAGAGCUCAAACAUAAGAGAGUAGGGCUCAACUUUAAGACAGAAACUGCCCAGCACCAUCUGCAGGUGGAUUGCAUUGUUUGGGGAGGCAGUCACAUGACCCAGAUCUGCUUCCUGCCUCUGCUUGCAGAAGUCUAACACUCUGAGGGCUAACACCAAUCCUGCUUGCAGGAUUCUAACACUCUGAGGCUCCGAGGUUGUUAAAGUCCCUGUCUCCCACACUACCAACCCCACUGUCAGCUUGACCAUGAGUGAAUGCCUUCACCAAUGUAUAGAAAGGACCUUGCUAAUAGGAAAAAAGAUGAGCCUGGAGCCUAAACAGGAAGGCUUUCUCUUCCACGGAUUGGAAGCACCGCUAAAGAAGCUGGCUGACUUGUGAGGUUCGGGGAUAACGAAGUAUGAAUGUACAGCUCCGGGUACUGUGCUUGGAGCAUAUGAAACAUGCAACACAUGACUAGUGUUGUUAUACAGUUUUCAUUCCCACAGUCUCUAACAAAAUAUAGUCAUACGUCUUUUUUUAAAAAGACGUGUUGGAUUCUAGUGCUGAGAAGAAGAGAAGCUACCACUAAUAUAGCAUGAGAGAGUGGCAGACAGAGAGAUCCCUGGGGACCCACAUUUUUCAGGGAGAAACCCCAAUUCUUUCUGCCCUUCAAGCAGUGGCACACAGCAGAAAGUGAAAUCAUUCAUUGGACAGCUUGAUUGGAAACUGUGAUUUAUAUUACAGGGAUCUUUUUGCCACAAUAGCCUAAUCUAAAUCAGGCCAUUAUUUCAUACAAGCCAUUAUUUCAUAAAGUUUUACAUUUUAACCUGUAACUCAGGUACCAAGUUUCCUCAAGCUACACAUUCCCACUCAUCAACAAUAUCAUUGGUUUGACAUUAUACAUACAAAAAGAGCAAUUUUUUAAGAAAAACAGUUAUAAGCUGAUACAUCAUUUUCAACACACCCUAUAUAUAAAGUUGCUGUGUUUCAGAGGUUAUUUGGAUUAUUUUAAUCUAUUGAAAAAAAAAGCUAACACGACACUUUUGGACAGUUCAGCCUCCUUUUUCUUUGCUUUGAUGGUGUUCUUUUCUCCUUUUCUCCCUCUAGUUUUUAUCUCUGUUCAAAAGCAAGAUUUUAAAUCCUGUAAGUAGAAAUUGGAACAACUUCUGGGCUUUGCACAGCACCUAGCUAGUUCUUCAGGAUAUUCUUUGUUCUAUUUUUUAACAUACAUUUUUAAAGGUAAUAAUAAACUAAACUUUGACCUUUAAAAUCUUCAAAUAAAUCAAUCAGCAGAGAAAUAACUAGGUAAAGAGCAGAAUGGAAAACAAUCAAACAAGGCUGGAAAGUCAUAGAAAAUUCCUAAAAUUGUGUGUUUGUAUGUGUGUGUGUGUGUGUGUGCAUGUUGUUGUUCUUAUUGUUCAUUUGUAUAUGUGUGAUUUGAGCAACAUUUGAGAAAAAAAAAAUAAGAAAAUGAGGAA